AUUGAACGCUGGCGGCAGGCCUAACACAUGCAAGUCGAGCGGAUGAAGGGAGCUUGCUCCUGGAUUCAGCGGCGGACGGGUGAGUAAUGCCUAGGAAUCUGCCUGGUAGUGGGGGAUAACGUCCGGAAACGGGCGCUAAUACCGCAUACGUCCUGAGGGAGAAAGUGGGGGAUCUUCGGACCUCACGCUAUCAGAUGAGCCUAGGUCGGAUUAGCUAGUUGGUGGGGUAAAGGCCUACCAAGGCGACGAUCCGUAACUGGUCUGAGAGGAUGAUCAGUCACCCUGGAACUGAGACACGGUCCAGACUCCUGCGGGAGGCAGCAGUGGGGAAUAUUGGACAAUGGGCGAAAGCCUUAUCCAGCCAUGCCGCGUGUGUGAAGAAGGUCUUCGGAUUGUAAAGCACUUUAAGUUGGGAGGAAGGGCAGUAAGUUAAUACCUUGCUGUUUUGACGUUACCAACAGAAUAAGCACCGGCUAACUUCGUG
rnacentral:rRNA from 1 species